CGGAUGAAACCUCGAACAGCUACAGCUACGAUGUCUCUUGCAGGAAAAAAAUGUGCAUAUUUUUAUUGAUUUCGCAGAAUACACAAAAACAAUGGAUUACAUAAAACUAGCACAGAAGACAUUGUAGCUGCACUUGUUCAAGGUUUCAACG
rnacentral:pre_miRNA from 1 species